CAAUAGCGUAUAUUUAAGUUGUUGCAGUUAAAAAGCUCGUAGUUGGAUUUCGGGUGGGACGCAGCGGUCUCGCAUUGCGUUUGUACUGCUUCAGCCCUCCUUCUUGCCGGGGGCGGCCUCUCGGACUUCACUGUCUGGGGGUCAGAAUCGGCGAUGUUACUUUGAGUAAAUUAGAGUGUUCAAAGCAAGCUUACGCUCUGAAUAUAAUAGCAUGGGAUAACACGACAGGACUCUGGCCUAUCGUGUUGGUCUAUAGGACCAGAGUAAUGAUUAAGAGGGACAGUCGGGGGCAUUCGUAUUCCGUUGUCAGAGGUGAAAUUCUUGGAUUUACGGAAGACGAACAUCUGCGAAAGCAUUUGCCAAGGAUGUUUUCAUUG
rnacentral:rRNA from 1 species